rnacentral:rRNA from 1 species
CCUACGGGGGGCAGCAGUGAGGAAUAUUGGUCAAUGGGCGAGAGCCUGAACCAGCCAAGUCGCGUGAAGGAUGACGGCCCUACGUGUUGUAUACUUCUUUUGUCAGGGAGCAAUUGGGUCGACGCGUGGGCUUAGCGAGAGUACCUGAAGAAAAAGCAUCGGCUAACUCCGUGCCCGCAGCCGCGGUAAUACGGAGGAUCCGAGCGUUAUCCGGAUUUAUUGGGUUUAAAGGGAGCGUAGGUGGAUUGUUAAGUCAGUUGUGAAAGUUUGCGGCUCCACCGUAAAAUUGCAGUUGAAACUGGCAG